CUAAAGAAAGAUUCUAAGCUUAUAUAAAACGUGAUCUACCAUAAACUUGUUAUUGCAAGACUAAAAAGAAGAGAAACCAAUGGCUAAGAAUGGUGCGAUUCUUGCAAUUACAAUGUUAGUAAUUUUAGCAAGUUCUUAUGCAAUUUCCUCUACUACUUUAGACGUUUGUAUCAAUGAGUGCAAGAUGCGUUUUGAUCAGGAUGAGAUAAAGAAGAAACAUUGCAUUCUGGGAUGUAUUAUCUACGCAUGCUGCGAGCACUAUCCAAAAAAUAUAAAAAAGAGGACCAAAAGCAUUGAGACGCUUAAUGCUGAGCUCAACAAAUAAUACCCGGUUUGACAAUGUUUGAAGUUUUAAUAAAUUUUCCAUUGGAUGGAAGAAUAUUCGAGCACCUUUUGAAUAAUAGAUCAGGAAAUGAUUCACCCAGCUGGUUUUGUGAGGUGUUUUAAUUAUUUGUUUACAACGUUUACUUUCUUGUUUUAUGCUUAAAUUAACCUUCUAUUUCCAAAAUUUAAAUGUACUUUCAUCAAGGCAAAAAUUAGAGGCGCUCAUGAAUCAGUUUCGAUUAGUA